rnacentral:rRNA from 1 species
UACGUAGGGUGCAAGCGUUGUCCGGAAUUAUUGGGCGUAAAGAGCUCGUAGGCGGUUUGUCGCGUCUGCUGUGAAAACCGGAGGCUCAACCUCCGGCCUGCAGUGGGUACGGGCAGACUAGAGUGCGGUAGGGGAGAUUGGAAUUCCUGGUGUAGCGGUGAAAUGCGCAGAUAUCAGGAGGAACACCGGUGGCGAAGGCGGGUCUCUGGGCCGAUACUGACGCUGAGGAGCGAAAGCGUGGGGAGCGAACAGG